CUGUUGCUUGCAACAGCGAAUUGUAGUCUCGAGAAGCGUCUUCAAAACGGAUCUACCCUGCCAAAGUUGCUUGGAAGAGCGCAUCGGAGAGGGUGACAAUCCCGUGCGAGGCAGGGCAGACCGUUCGUGAUGCGCUUUCGAUGAGUCGGGUUGCUUGGGAAUGCAGCCCAAAAUUGGUGGUAGACUCCAUCUAAAGCUAAAUAUUGGCACGAGACCGAUAGCGAACAAGUACCGUGAGGGAAAGAUGAAAAGAACUUUGAAAAGAGAGUUAAAAAGUGCGUGAAACCGUUGGAGGGGAAACGGAUGCAGUUAGCAACGCUGCUGCGAGAUUCAGACGGUAGCCUGGUUAGACGGUCAGUUGGCGGAUCUGAAUGGACUGCUGCUGGGUGGCCUGGCCUUGCGCCCGUCGCACUUCUCGUAGUAGUGUGUCAACAACUGCCAGCCGUGCACUAUACGGCCCGAUGGAAGGUAGGCACCCGGUUCGCCGGGUGUUGUUAUAGACUUCGGUGCUCCAGUGCAUGUGCUGGCAGAGGCGAGCGGUGCAACUCUGCCAUUGGUAGGGUUGGCGUCCUGUUGCUCUCUCGUAGUCGGUGGGAGCCCACUGCGUGCAGUGCGCAUUUGCCGGUGAAAAGGGGUACAAUCAACGCACAUCUUGCACCAUGGUUGUUGGCGGCCAAAUGGCUUUAUCCGACCCGUCUUGAAACACGGACCAAGGAGUCUAACAUGUGCGCAAGUCUUGGGGUGACCGAAACCCAGAGGCGCAAUGAAAGUAAAGGCUGCCUGGCAGCUGAGGUGAGAUCUUUGCUCCACGCGAGUGAAGCGCAUCAUCGACCGACCUGUUCUACUCUUAGAAGGGUUUGAGUAAGAGCGUGCAUGCUGGGACCCGAAAGAUGGUGAACUAUGCUUGAGUAGGGUGAAGCCAGAGGAAACUCUGGUGGAAGCUCGUAGCGAUUCUGACGUGCAAAUCGAUCGUCGAACUUGAGUAUAGGGGCGAAAGACUAAUCGAACCAUCUA
rnacentral:rRNA from 1 species